UGGGGAAUUUUGGACAAUGGGGGCAACCCUGAUCCAGCAAUGCCGCGUGUGUGAAGAAGGCCUUCGGGUUGUAAAGCACUUUUGUCCGGGAAGAAAUCGCACCUGAUAAUACCGGGUGUGGAUGACGGUACCGGAAGAAUAAGCACCGGCUAACUACGUGCCAGCAGCCGCGGUAAUACGUAGGGUCCAAGCGUUAAUCGGAAUUACUGGGCGUAAAGCGUGCGCAGGCGGUUGUGCAAGACCGAUGUGAAAUCCCCGGGCUUAACCUGGGAAUUGCAUUGGUGACUGCACAGCUAGAGUGUGUCAGAGGGGGGUAGAAUUCCACGUGUAGCAGUGAAAUGCGUAGAGAUGUGGAGGAAUACCGAUGGCGAAGGCAGCCCCCUGGGAUAACACUGACGCUCAUGCACGAAAGCGUGGGGAGCAAACAGG
rnacentral:rRNA from 1 species